CACGUAGGCACCAAGCGUUGUCCGGAUUUAUUGGGCGUAAAGAGCUCGUAGGCGGUUGAGUAAGUCGGGUGUGAAAACUCUGGGCUUAACCCAGAGCCGCCACUCGAUACUGCUCUGACUUGAGUUCGGUAGGGGAGCAGGGAAUUCCUAGUGUAGCGGUGAAAUGCGCAGAUAUUAGGAGGAACACCGGUGGCGAAGGCGCUGCUCUGGGCCGAAACUGACGCUGAGGAGCGAAAGCGUGGGUA
rnacentral:rRNA from 1 species